CCUACGGGAGGCUGCAGUGGGGAAUAUUGCACAAUGGGCGAAACCCUGAUGCAGCGACGCCGCGUGAGUGAAGAAGUAAUUCGUUAUGUAAAGCUCUAUCAGCAGGGAAGAAAAUGACGGUACCUGAGUAAGAAGCCCCGGCCAACAACGUGCCAGCAGCCGCGGGAAUACGUAGGGGGCAAGCGUUAUCCGGAUUUACUGGGUGUAAAGGGAGCGUAGACGGCAGUGCAAGUCUGGAGUGAAAGGCGGGGGCUCAACCCCCGGACUGCUCUUGAAACUGGACGGCUGGAGUGCAGGAGAGGUAAGUGGAAUUCCUGGUGUAGCGGUGAAAUGCGUAGAUAUUGGGAAGAACACCAGUGGCGAAGGCGGCUUACUGGACUGUAACUGACGUUGAGGCUCGAAAGCGUGGGGAGCAAACAGGAUUAGAUACCCCUGUAGUC
rnacentral:rRNA from 1 species